rnacentral:rRNA from 1 species
GUAAGGAAUAUUGGUCAAUGGACGCAAGUCUGAACCAGCUAUGCCGCGUGAAGGAUUAAGGUCCUCUGGAUUGUAAACUUCUUUUAUCUGGGACGAAAAAAGGUCUUUCUAGACCCCUUGACGGUACCAGAUGAAUAAGCACCGGCUAACUCCGUGCCAGCAGCCGCGGUAAUACGGAGGGUGCAAGCGUUAUCCGGAUUCACUGGGUUUAAAGGGUGCGUAGGCGGGUAGGUAAGUCAGUGGUGAAAUCCUGGAGCUCAACUCCAGAACUGCCAUUGAUACUAUCUAUCUUGAAUAUUGUGGAGGUAAGCGGAAUAUGUCAUGUAGCGGUGAAAUGCUUAGAUAUGACAUAGAACACCCAUUGCGAAGGCAGCUUACUACGCAUAUAUUGACGCUGAGGCACGAAAGCGUGGGGAUCAAACAGGAUUAGAUACCCCCGUAGUCCGGUCAUA